GACGAACGCUGGCGGCGUGCUUAACACAUGCAAGUCGAACGGAAAGGCCCUGCUUUUGUGGGGUGCUCGAGUGGCGAACGGGUGAGUAACACGUGAGUAACCUGCCCUUGACUUUGGGAUAACUUCAGGAAACUGGGGCUAAUACCGGAUAGGAGCUCCUGCUGCAUGGUGGGGGUUGGAAAGUUUCGGCGGUUGGGGAUGGACUCGCGGCUUAUCAGCUUGUUGGUGGGGUAGUGGCUUACCAAGGCUUUGCCGGGUGGCCGGCCUGAGAGGGUGACCGGCCACAUUGGGACUGAGAUACGGCCCAGACUCCUACGGGAGGCAGCAGUGGGGAAUAUUGCACAAUGGGCGGAAGCCUGAUGCAGCAACGCCGCGUGCGGGAUGACGGCCUUCGGGUUGUAAACCGCUUUCGCCUGUGACGAAGCGUGAGUGACGGUAAUGGGUAAAGAAGCACCGGCUAACUACGUG
rnacentral:rRNA from 1 species